rnacentral:rRNA from 1 species
CAAGUCGAACGAGAAAGUGGAGCAAUCCAUGAGUACAGUGGCGUACGGGUGAGUAACACGUGGGUAAUCUACCUCUUAGUGGGGAAUAACCAGGGGAAACUCUGGCUAAUACCGCAUAAGCCUGAGAAGGGAAAGCAGCAAUGCGCUGAGAGAGGAGCCCGCGGCCGAUUAGCUAGUUGGUGGGGUAAGAGCCCACCAAGGCAGAGAUCGGUAGCCGGCCUGAGAGGGCACACGGCCACACUGGCACUGAAACACGGGCCAGACUCCUACGGGAGGCAGCAGUGGGGAAUCUUGCACAAUGGGGGAAACCCUGAUGCAGCGACGCCGCGUGAGCGAUGAAGCCCUUCGGGGUGUAAAGCUCUUUCGUCAGGGACGAUAAUGACGGUACCUGGAGAAGCAGCUGCGGCUAACUACGUGCCAGCAGCCGCGGUAAUACGUAGGCAGCAAGCGUUGUUCGGAGUUACUGGGCGUAAAGGGUGUGUAGGCGGUUCUUUAAGUUUGGUGUGAAAUCUCCCGGCUCAACUGGGAGGGUGCGCCGAAUACUGAGGGACUAGAGUACGGGAGAGGAAAGUGGAAUUCCUGGUGUAGCGGUGAAAUGCGUAGAUAUCAGGAGGAACACCGGUGGUGUAGACGGCUUUCUGGACCGUAACUGACGCUGAGACACGAAAGCGUGGGUAGCAAACAGGAUUAGAUACCCUGGUAGUCCACGCCCUACACGAUGCAUAUUUGGUGUGGGCAGUUCAUUCUGUCCGUGCCGGAGCUAACGCGUUAAAUAUGCCGCCUGGGGAGUACAGUCGCAAGGCUGAAACUCAAAGGAAUUGACGGGGGCCC